rnacentral:rRNA from 1 species
AUUGAACGCUGGCGGCAGGCCUAACACAUGCACGUCGAACGAGUGGCGGACGGGUGAGUAAUGUCUGGGCAACUGCCCGAUGGAGGGGGAUCACUACUGGAAACGGUAGCUAAUACCGCAUACCAUCGGAUGUGCCCAGAUGGGAUUAGCUAGUAGGUGGGGUAACGGCUCACCUAGGCGACGAUCCCUAGCUGGUCUGCGAGGAUGACCAGCCACACUGGAACGGAGACACGGUCCAGACUCCAACGGGAGGAAGCAGUGGGGAAUAUUGCACAAUGGGCGCAAGCCUGAUGCAGCCAGGCCGCGUGUAUGAAGAAGGCCUUCGGGUUGUAAAGUACUUGCAGCGAGGAGGCGUUACUCGCAGAAGAAGCACCGGCUAACGCCGUGCCAGCAGCCGCGGUAAUUC